CUCAGUGAAUUUGGAGCAAGGGACUCAGAUAAUAACCACAAGGUACAAGAAGUGGAGAGUGUGCCUUGGAGAUGCUGGAGUCAAAAAGAACGUCCUCCUUGGGACAGUCAGGUUGUCCCACUCCACUUCCCUCCCGAGGCUUCUCUAUCUGAGCUAUAAAGUAGCAGGUCCACUCCCCACCCCUGGCAACAGCCAGGUUCUCUUUUUCUCUGGACUUCAACUGCAUGUUUCACAGAAACAGAAGCAAUCGAUCUGUGAGCUGCACAUCUGGCUCUCUUCCUGAAGCAUGUUUUGUACAUCUGUUGACAGUGCAGCACCAAUCAGUACCGGAAUCCUUUCAUUUUUCUUACCAGCACCCCAUUGUGUGUGAACAAUGCUCUUUAUCUACUUCCUCAGGGCUGCUACGCGGGCUAGCUGGCCUGUGAACCACCCGACGGUCAUCUGUUUCUCCCUACUACCUCGAGAGAAGAGCCCUGGGUUGCAGAUGCCCUGCCACAUCUGGCUUUUCCUGGAUUCUGGAGGUCUGGAGCCAGGUCCUCAAGCUUGUCCCCCAAGGAUUUUAGCCACUGAGCCAGCUCCCCAGCACAGCCCGUCUUUUUGUCCCGGGGAGCAGUCUCCUUCCUCCAGUUAACCCAAUUCACAGCUAUAUUUGCGAACGUUCUGCAGUUGGCUUCUGCCGGGUCUACAGAUUUUAAGAUGUACAGCCACGGUGGGAAGGAAUGGAGAUCCCCCAUAAUUUUGGUCAAACUGUAAACAGAUUUUCCUUUUCCUAAUUCCUUGGGAGAUACAGGUCUUUUUUUUCCCCCUCCCGACUAUUAAUAAAAUAUGAAUAAAACACCGGACAAA